AGGAUGAACGCUGGCGGCGUGCCUAAUACAUGCAAGUCGAGCGGUAAGGCCCCUUCGGGGGUACACGAGCGGCGGACGGCUGAGUAACACGUAGGAACGUACCCCAAAGUGAGGGAUAAGCACCAGAAAUGGUGUCUAAUACCGCAUGUGCUCUUCGGAGGAAAGCUUCGGCGCUUUGGGAACGGCCUGCGCAUGAUUAGCUUGUUGGUGGGGUAACGGCCUACCAAGGCUACGACGGGUAGCUGGUCUGAGAGGACGACCAGCCACACUGGGACUGAGACACGGCCCAGACUCCUACGGGAGGCAGCAGUGGGAAUCUUGCGCAAUGGGCGAAAGCCUGACGCAGCAACGCCGCGUGAGGGAUGAAGGUCUUCGGGUUGUAAACCUCUUUCGAGCAGGGACGAUUGUGACGGUACCUGCAGAAGAAGCUCCGGCCAACUACGCGCCAGCAGCCGC
rnacentral:rRNA from 1 species